UAUAGGUUACUCUGCAGUUCAGCUAGAGGUUGCAGCUGGCUAUUACAACUACAUGUUAAAGUGAAAACAUAGACCGUCUUUUGGCAGUUGGUGCUGAAUAGGAACUCGACUACAUAUCAGAGAAUGUUUGCGGACCAUGUAUAUCAUACAAGCUUUGUAAGCAAGUUCUAUUGGGAAAUGUCAAGGAAAAUAAACACUGUCCAUUGCCCAAAUUAGAAAAAAU
rnacentral:lncRNA from 1 species